rnacentral:lncRNA from 1 species
CAAAAUGGGCUCAAACUCAGAGGAGAAAAGGCAAAGAAAUAGACAUGAAAGUAGUGCUUAAUUAGCUAGGGUGGAGGGAAACAUGAAAGGAAAGUGUGGGUGGCUGGGUGGCAUAUCACCAAAAAAAAAAAAAGGAAGAAGAUUUAUCUGGAAAAAAAAAAAAGAUUAUUGAACGAACACUGGAGACACACACAUCCCUAUCAGGAUACACACUUUUACAUAUUUGUUAUUUAAAAAAUAAGAAUUAUUAUAGACUUUCUAGAUCAUAUCCUAAUUAAUUACUUGAUGAUUUGGACUUAUAUAUGAGAAAGGGACAGUAUGAUUAGCUGGGGUACUAUUUUGUCUAGAACAUAUUUUGUGACAAAUGAUUCCAUCCCUAAUCAAAAGUAAUCUCAUGCACUAAUAUGCAACAAGUGAUAUGAAUUUUUGAAUAAUAGUUAGGUAACUAAUUAUAAUUCAGUAGUAAUUUACUAUGGUAUAACCAAGGUUCCAUGUAGAGCUUAUUUUUAUUGAUCAAAGCUAAUUAAAUGAUAAAUCCUGUCUUGAAAAUACAGUUGAGUACUUUUUAGUUAGCACUUACGAAGAUUUGCUUAGCAUCCCCUUAAUCUUGGAGAUACUAAACAAAAUUGUUACAGUGGCGUUAUUAGUUGUCAUUUG